GGAAAAUGUAGAAGUGCAUUUGGAGGAGAAGACCAAUACAGCUGAUUUUGUCUGCUGUUUGCAGCAUUUGCAGUUGUGUUUUGAAACUGAAGAGAAAGCACGGAGACUUCUUCUAAACGUGUCAUCUCUACUGAAACCAGGGGGAUAUUUUCUCGUGGUUUCAGAUGAAAUCCACAUAAAAUGAAGUCCAGAGUUAGAGCAUAAUGAAAUUCAUCC